rnacentral:rRNA from 1 species
GAUGAACGCUGGCGGCGUGCCUAAUACAUGCAAGUCGAGCGAACAGACGAGGAGCUUGCUCCUCUGACGUUAGCGGCGGACGGGUGAGUAACACGUGGAUAACCUACCUAUAAGACUGGGAUAACUUCGGGAAACCGGAGCUAAUACCGGAUAAUAUAUUUAACCGCAUGGUUCAAUAGUGAAAGACGGUUUUGCUGUCACUUAUAGAUGGAUCCGCGCCGCAUUAGCUAGUUGGUAAGGUAACGGCUUACCAAGGCAACGAUGCGUAGCCGACCUGAGAGGGUGAUCGGCCACACUGGAACUGAGACACGGUCCAGACUCCUACGGGAGGCAGCAGUAGGGAAUCUUCCGCAAUGGGCGAAAGCCUGACGGAGCAACGCCGCGUGAGUGAUGAAGGUCUUCUGAUCGUAAAACUCUGUUAUUAGGGAAGAACAAAUGUGUAAGUAACUAUGCACGUCUUGACGGUACCUAAUCAGAAAGCCACGGCUAACUACGUG